CGCAUCUGUUGAAUUUACUUCAUAGAAAUGGUUUAGUGUUUUCGAACAAGUCCGUGAGCAUCUUAACCGUUAUCAGAGGAGAUUCUUCUAGUGUUUGAUGGCCUUCUGUAUCCCAUGAUGAGCAAACCUCCUGUCCAACAACAUCUCCAAGGCACACUGAUCCAUAUGACUAGCAGCGAAAAAUACAUCGUGGACCAAAGAGGAAACUGACAACACACUGACAGAAGAAGACAGAGAAGGUCACUUCUGAUCCAUCAAUGUCCUCAUCUUCUGUGUCUGAAUUGAACAACUGGGCAACAGCUUUUGAACAGCUUUCUUCAUCAAACAUGCCGGGUUCCCUCUCAUCAUGGUUGAUCGCUGCCAGUGUACGUAUUACAUCCCUGUGUCAGCGGGAAAUGGUCCGACAGUCAACCUCGCGUGUGGAGACUUCAGAAGAUGCCAGACCUCACAAAGAUUUCAGAUGAUGGAAACUAUAGAUGAACAUGCAAAGCUGCUAAAUAAUCCUUAUAUUGUAAUCAUUGUCCUAAAAGGAAUCGAUAAGAAUCGGAAUCAAUAAGCAGAAUCAGAAUCGAUAAAAUUCAAAUGAUACCCAACCCUAGAAAUGAGGGACACCUGUUCCACUCACCGGUCUCGCAUCCCACGGAGGAGAUCGGAGGGAUACAAAAGAGGAGCGACGACAGUGAGGGACGAGAGAGGACCAGGCCUGGACUUUAUUUCAUGUUUGUGCGCGACAGUCGUCUGCGAGGGGCUGGCGCGAUGUUUUGUCUUUAUUUUAUUAUUAAAGCUCUGUUUGAUUGUCCGCCGGU